rnacentral:lncRNA from 1 species
UAAUGAUGAAAUGACUUAGGCACAAAUUUGGGAUAACAAGAGAAUAAAAAAAUAUCUUGAGCAAAAAAGAAAAGAAAAGCAAGAGUCAAAUGCCAUGACUACCAAUAAAAAGGGCGACUGUCACUCAAGUGAACGAAAGAAAAACCUCAUUGAUUCCAAAAAUCACUAAAAUUUCUUUCAAAAACUGAAUGCACCUACUGAGUUAGCUGAAUGUAGGAUUGUAGAACAUAAAGUAGAAUGGGGUAGGCUGAAAUCAAAUUGUG